rnacentral:rRNA from 1 species
GACGAACGCUGGCGGCGUGCUUAACACAUGCAAGUCGAACGAGUGGCGAACGGGUGAGUGACACGUGGGUGACAUGCCCUGCACUUCGGGAUAAGCCUGGGAAACAGGGUCUAAUACCGGAUAGUGUGGGUUGGGCCCGCGGCUUAUCAGCUUGUGGGUGGGGUAAUGGCUGCCAAGGCGCGACGGGUAGCCGGCCUGAGAGGGUGGUCGGCCACAUGGGGACGGAGAAACGGCCCAGACUCCUACGGGAGGCAGCAUUGGGGAAUAUUGCACAAUGGGCGCAAGCCUGAUGCAGCCAUGCCGCGUGUAUGAAGAAGGCCUUAGGGUUGUAAAGUACUUUCAGCGGGGAGGCGUUACCCGCAGAAGAAGCACCGGCUAACUCCGUGCCAGCAGCCGCGGUAAUUC